AACGCGAAGAACCUUACCAGCUCUUGACAUCUUCUGUCCAUUCUAGAGAUAGAGCUUCCCCUUCGGGGGCAGAAUGACAGGUGGUGCAUGGUUGUCGUCAGCUCGUGUCGUGAGAUGUUGGGUUAAGUCCCAUAACGAGCGCAACCCUUAUUGUUAGUUGCCAGCAUUCAGUUGGGCACUCUAGCGAGACUGCCGGUGAUAAACCGGAGGAAGGUGGGGAUGACGUCAAAUCAUCAUGCCCCUUAUGGGCUGGGCUACGCACGUGCUACAAUGGACGGUACAACGGGCUGCGAUGCCGCAAGGCGCAGCGAAUCCUACAAAGCCGUUUCAGUUCGGAUUGUUCUCUGCAACUCGAGAGCAUGAAGCCGGAAUCGCUAGUAAUCGCGAUCAGAAUGC
rnacentral:rRNA from 1 species